CUUGGCUUCGUCGCUUUU
rnacentral:snRNA from 1 species